GGUUAAGCGACUAAGCGUACACGGUGGAUGCCCUGGCAGUCAGAGGCGAUGAAGGACGUGCUAAUCUGCGAUAAGCGUCGGUAAGGUGAUAUGAACCGUUAUAACCGGCGAUUUCCGAAUGGGGAAACCCAGUGUGUUUCGACACACUAUCAUUAACUGAAUCCAUAGGUUAAUGAGGCGAACCGGGGGAACUGAAACAUCUAAGUACCCCGAGGAAAAGAAAUCAACCGAGAUUCCCCCAGUAGCGGCGAGCGAACGGGGAGGAGCCCAGAGCCUGAAUCAGUGUGUGUGUUAGUGGAAGCGUCUGGAAAGGCGCGCGAUACAGGGUGACAGCCCCGUACACAAAAAUGCACAUACUGUGAGCUCGAUGAGUAGGGCGGGACACGUGGUAUCCUGUCUGAAUAUGGGGGGACCAUCCUCCAAGGCUAAAUACUCCUGACUGACCGAUAGUGAACCAGUACCGUGAGGGAAAGGCGAAAAGAACCCCGGCGAGGGGAGUGAAAAAGAACCUGAAACCGUGUACGUACAAGCAGUGGGAGCCUCUUUUAUGGGGUGACUGCGUACCUUUUGUAUAAUGGGUCAGCGACUUAUAUUCUGUAGCAAGGUUAACCGAAUAGGGGAGCCGAAGGGAAACCGAGUCUUAACUGGGCGUUAAGUUGCAGGGUAUAGACCCGAAACCCGGUGAUCUAGCCAUGGGCAGGUUGAAGGUUGGGUAACACUAACUGGAGGACCGAACCGACUAAUGUUGAAAAAUUAGCGGAUGACUUGUGGCUGGGGGUGAAAGGCCAAUCAAACCGGGAGAUAGCUGGUUCUCCCCGAAAGCUAUUUAGGUAGCGCCUCGUGAAUUCAUCUCCGGGGGUAGAGCACUGUUUCGGCAAGGGGGUCAUCCCGACUUACCAACCCGAUGCAAACUGCGAAUACCGGAGAAUGUUAUCACGGGAGACACACGGCGGGUGCUAACGUCCGUCGUGAAGAGGGAAACAACCCAGACCGCCAGCUAAGGUCCCAAAGUCAUGGUUAAGUGGGAAACGAUGUGGGAAGGCCCAGACAGCCAGGAUGUUGGCUUAGAAGCAGCCAUCAUUUAAAGAAAGCGUAAUAGCUCACUGGUCGAGUCGGCCUGCGCGGAAGAUGUAACGGGGCUAAACCAUGCACCGAAGCUGCGGCAGCGACGCUUAUGCGUUGUUGGGUAGGGGAGCGUUCUGUAAGC
rnacentral:rRNA from 1 species